rnacentral:lncRNA from 1 species
CUGCCACAGAGGGCUCCAGACCAUUCUAUAGCCCCAGCGGGAGAGGGAGGCAAGGUCGCCAGGCGGAUGGCAUGCUGAGAAACUGAGGCUCACAGAGGCCCCACCCCUUGCCAGGGGCCAUGGAUCCCCCUCACCCCCAGGGCAGCCUCUCCUCUGCCCUCCUCUGGGUCAGGCCCCUGCGCCUCCCCACUGCCCCAACAGCCUCUGCGUCCAGUCCCUGCCUCCUUCAAAACCCACUCCCAAGUCCAGCCCUGAGAGAAGGCGGUCUCAUCCCCAGUGGCAGGCACCCUGCCCGCCCAGUCGUCGGGAUCCUGGGGAGACAGCACUCCCACCUCAUCCUGCCACCCUGACAGCAUCCAGCUCCACCCAUCAGGCUAUUGGCCCAUUUCUCAUACAUGGGAACACCAGGCUGGCCCUUCGCCUGAAACCCCAUUCGAGGCAGCACCCGCCCUGCUGCUUCUGGCCAGGCAGGCGAGAUCUCAAAACAUCGUGCUUCUAAAAAUGCUCUUAAGAAGAAAAAAGUUGGACAGAAGAAUGUGGAAACAUUUGCUGUGGUCAUCAGAGUGACAGGUUGGAGUGAAUAAAUGUUCAUUAUCCUCUU